UGUACCGCAAAAGAAAAAAACAUUUUAAUCACCCCAACAAGAAACCAUGUACCUAUUAGCACUUGUUCCCUAUUUUCCCUGAGCACUUCCAGUCCUAGGGAACCACUAAUCUACUUUCUGUCUCUGUGGAUUUGCCUAUGCUGUAUGUUUCAUAUAAAUGGAAUCCUAUAAUAUGUGGCCUUUUGUGUAUAUAUAGUAUGUUAGGUAGAUACAUAUAUUUAAUGUGUAUCUACACAAUGUUUUCAAGGUUCAUCCAUGUUGUAGUAUGUAUCAGUGCUUCAUUCCUUUUUAUUGCUAAGUAGCAUUUGAUUGUACAGAUAUACCACAUUUUGUUUAUCCAUUCAUCAGUUCAUGGACAUUUGGGUUAUUUUCACCUUUGAGCUAUGAUGAAUAAUGCUGCUAUGAACGUAUACCUGUUUUUAUGUGGACAUAAUGUUUUCGUUCUCUUGGGUAUAUACCUAGGAGUGGAAUUGCUGGGUCAUAUGGUAACUCUGUGUUUAACUUUUUGAGCAACUGCCAGAUUAUUUUCCACAGUGGCUGCACCAGUCUGCAUUCCCACCAACAAUGGAUGAUCCUAUUUGUCACAUCCUCGCCAACACUUCUUAUUAUCUGACUUUUUGAUUCUAGCCAUCCUUGUGGGUGUGAAGUGGAUCUGAUUGUGUUUUUUUGAUUUCCAUUUUCCUGAUGGCUCAUGGCAUUGAGCAUCUUUUCAGGUGCUUAUUGGCUGACUGUAUAUCUUCUCUGGAGAAAUAUCUAGUCAGAUUAUUUGCCCAUUUUUCAAGUGAGUUAUCUUUUUAUUAUUGAGUUGUUAGAAUUCUUUAUAUAUUCUAGAUACAAGCCCCUUACCAGAUUUGCAAAAAUGUUCUCCCAUUCUGUGGGUUGUCUUUUCACUGUCUUGAUGGUGUCUUUUGUAGCAUAAGCAUUUUUUAUUCUGAUGUCCAGUUUAUCUAUUUUUUCUUUUGUUGCUUGUGCUUUUGGAAUCAUAUCUAAGAAGGCUUUGCCUAAUCCAAUAUCAUGAAAAUUUAUGCUUGCAUUUUCUUCUAAGAGUUUGUUUUACCACGUAUGUUUAGGCUUUUGAUUCAUUUUUGGUUAAUUUUUGUGUAUGAUGUGAGAGGUAAGAGGUCCAACUUUAUUCUUUUUAAAAAAAAAUUUAUUUAUUUAUGUUUGGCUGCAUUGGGUCCUCGUUGCUGCACACAGGCUUUCUCCAGUUGGGGCGAGGAGGGACUACUCUUCGUUGUGGUGCAUGGGUUUCUCACUGGGGUGGCUUGUCUUUGUUGCAGAGCACGGGCUCUAGGCGCAUGGGCUUCAGUAGUUGUGGCUCGCGGGCUCUAGAGCACAGGCCCAGCAGUUGUGGCACACGGGCCUAGUUGCUCCAUGGCAUGUGGGAUCUUCCCAGACCAGGGCUCGGGCCCGUGUCCCCUGCACUGGCAGGCAAAUUCCCAACCACUGCGCCACCAGGGAAGUCCCCCAACUUUAUUCUUUUGCAUGUGACUAUCCAGUUGUCCCAGAAUGCUUUGUUGAACUGUCGCAUAAUGUGCCCCAAACACAUAUGCUUGGAUUUCUAUGCAACACUGACAUGACCAAAGUCCCUCCCUGGUGCAGUAAGACAGACCCCAGCAGACCAAUGCCUGGCAAGCAGCAGAUCCUCAAAAAAUGUUUGUCAGAUGAAUGCCCCCAAGUUCAGGGGUUGGAGUCCCCUUCACUCUGUGCAUGACUCUGGAAAUGUUUCCUCCACGCGGCCACUUGGCCACAGUCUAAAGAGGUGCCUUGGUACCCUUGAGUAAAGGGGGCAAACUAGCAGCGCUCCUACUGCCUGAACCAGAUCUCAGGAAAAAAAAUCCCAAAUCUUUUUUUGAGGCUGCCAGGGAACAUGGUGGGUCAAGGGAAACGAAGAGAGAAGAUUGGGGAGCCGCUGGCUUGGAUGUGAAACAGGACAGGGGACCUUGAGUAACAAACGAAGAAGCACCUGUACUCAAGGUCAACAUUUCUUGCCUUAAGCGUCAAGAGGCAAAAGCAGGGGAAAGCUCUUGGCUGGCAGAUGAAAUGAAAAGAUAAAAGCGCUGGCAGCCGCCCCAGACAUCUCUGCACCGGCAAAAGCUGCAUCAUAUCCUUUGGGCCAAGUGGAGACGCAGCCUGGGGACAGCCAACUUCUGGAGCAGGGGACAGAUGAACCUGGGGUCUGUGGAAGGAGAAGGCACCCUUGCAGGGGAAAUGUGCUGGUCAGCAGAACCUCACGAGACAGAGGCUGGCUUCCCGUUGGCUUCUCCAGGAAGCAGGCACUGUUUGUCUCUCUCAGCCCUGACACUGCAGUAGCCUGAUAAGAGGCCAGGAGCUGGGGAGCCUCUGGUGAGCCAGCAGCUUCCAAGUGGCUGCAGGGUCACAGCAGGGGACAACUCCUUACUCCUCAGCCCCUUCCACUCCCCUCUCCAGUCCUGGAAACACAGAGCACAGGCUCCGGACGCGCAGGCUCAGCGGCCACGGCUCACGGGCCCAGCCGCUCCACAGCAUGUGGGAUCUUCCCGGACCGGGGCACGAACCCGUGUCCCCUGCAGCGGCAGGCGGACUCUCAACCACGGCGCCACCAGGGAAGCCCUGUUCCUGUAGUUUUGAUGAUGUAGCCUCCAUGAAAGAGUAGUCAUUGAGCUGAUGGAUGCAAAGCAGUCACUUGACCCCUCCUUCGCAUGUUUGUCCCCGUGGAGCUGGGAAUGGUGGCCUCCCAAGACUGGACCCAUGACUGAAACGGAGCCGAGUUUUGCUUCGUACGAAAUCUAAAAGGUGAAAUAUUCUCAGCAGAAUUCAAGAGACCCAUGCAAAUCACUGAGUGAUUUCAGGAGACCCAGAAAAUUGCCCCAAAACCUGUCACUGAGAAGAGCUGCAGCUGCUAAUGAAGGUCUUUACAGCCCGCGUGGAGCAUCAUAGGACCGGAAUUCUCCUCCACUGGAUGAGUUCUGUCAGGAAUAUGAGUGAUUUCCCCACCCAACGUAACCAGUCUCUUUCCUCACCUAACCUAAUCAGGAAGGAACGCAGGCACUAUCUCAGGCCAUUUCACACCCAUGUAUCACCUCCCAGAGAGCAAGCACCCCGUGGGUGGGUGCCACGCAGCCCUCCUUUUAUCCCCUGCUUCUACACCAUGUCGGGCACAUAGCAGGAUCUGGGCAAAGCCUGAAUUGAAUUAUGAUCUAAGGGGAGAGCCACAGAGACCUGAAAUUUAUUCUUCAAGGAGUUUACUCUUCUUAAAAAAUUCUUUUAAAUUAGGUUUUAGAUAUAAAAAGAUCAAUCUGCUGCUUUAUUUUAUUACUCUUCUGUCAUAUUAAACUGUAACCCUUGGUGACUUAGGGUCGUAACAAGUGAAGUCUAUAAAACAAAACAGCAGGUGUGUUAAAAUUGCCUAUAUUUUUCAAAAGUGGGCCCUUAAAGUCAUCCUGCGGAAAGGCCAGGGGUUCUAAUAUGCAAGGAAAGAAGACAUAGUGUUUUAUUGUCUACUUGCCUACCUAAUAUCCAUUCUCCCCUUCUUCUACUAACAAAUCCUUGAUUUUUUACAGUGUGGCAAUGUACACAGUUAUAACACUACAUUUCCAAGCUUCUCUUGCUGCUAAAUAGGGCCACGUGAUUAAGUUCUGGCCAACGAGUUGUAAGCAGAAGUUAUCAAGUAUUACAGAAUUUAUGAAAAGGGGGAUAGACAGCUGGCAUGUGCUUUUUUCAUAUUCUUCCUCCACCUGCUCCUUGCUUCUUGCCUGGAAUGCUGAUGUGAUUGCUGGGGCUCCAGCAACUCUCUUGGCUCAUGAGGUGACAAUGAGUCUGGAAGUCACAGGCUAAGAAUGAGAGAAGAAAAAGGUAGGAGGAGCCCAGGUCCCUGAUGACACUGUGGACCUUUGAC